rnacentral:rRNA from 1 species
GAUGAACGCUGGCGGCGUGCCUAAUACAUGCAAGUCGAGCGAACGGACGAGAAGCUUGCUUCUCUGAUGUUAGCGGCGGACGGGUGAGUAACACGUGGAUAACCUACCUAUAAGACUGGGAUAACUUCGGGAAACCGGAGCUAAUACCGGAUAAUAUUUUGAACCGCAUGGUUCAAAAGUGAAAGACGGUCUUGCUGUCACUUAUAGAUGGAUCCGCGCUGCAUUAGCUAGUUGGUAAGGUAACGGCUUACCAAGGCAACGAUGCAUAGCCGACCUGAGAGGGGGAUCGGCCACACUGGAACUGAGACACGGUCCAGACUCCUACGGGAGGCAGCAGUAGGGAAUCUUCCGCAAGGGGCGAAAGCCUGACGGAGCAACGCCGCGUGAGUGAUGAAGGUCUUCGGAUCUUAAAACUCUGUUAUUAGGGAAGAACAUAUGUGUAAGUAACUGUGCACAUCUUGACGGUACCUAAUCAGAAAGCCACGGCUAACUACGUG